AGGGGUCUAGCUCAGUGGUAGAGUACAUGUUUAGCGUGCAUGAGGUCCUGGGUUCAGUCCCCAGCACUGCCA
rnacentral:tRNA from 1 species